CUGGUGAUGAGCAACCAGCCCACAUCAGAGGAGCUGGAACUAGGUGAUCUCUGAGGUCCCUUCCAAUUCAAGCCAUUCUGUGUUUCUAUGUGACCGUCACUGAGGGAACUCCGAUAGCUACGGGGCUUCGUGCACUGCGGGGAGCUCCCUGGGUACUGCGAGAGAUUCAAGCAGCGCCACGGAGAAAUCCUAAUGGGACGACCUGGGUGUCGGGGGCAACCGCGCGGGGUUCUCACUGACCGCCGAGGAUGAAGCUGCCGACGGCGGAGAUAAAGCCGCUGAGGAAGGAGUUGAAGGGAAAGGUGCCGACACCCAGGCAGUAGCCAAACUGGAGCGCCCCGGUGAGCAUCACGUACAACAGGUAUGCGUCCAGCACCUUGAGACGGCUCGACGUGCCACUGCCGUACUCCGCCAGGAAACGCCGCACCACAGAACCUACCGAGCCCGCAGCCCCCACACCCGAACCCGCCGUGCCCGACAUGCUCCCCCCAGAAGAAAGCUGAGGUGGCCGGAAGCAGAGCGGACAAGCGCUUCCGGGACACAGCCGAGCAACACACGCGCAUGGCCAGUCCACUUCCGGGUCAGAGAUAGUGCGCAAACGCAGUUGUCCUGCCCGCAAAAGGGCGGAACUGAGGUGUUACUAGAGAUAAUACGCAUGCGCAUAAGUACGUGCCGGAUUGGCUGAAAGGUGCUUCCGGCUGGCGCGUGCGCAGAAGUCUCUCGGUCUCCAGAGGUGCCCUUGUGUGAGAUCAGUUCGUGGCGGUAGGAGGUGGGAUUGGUGGGGUGGUUUUGCCAGGAUGGAGUAUGGGGGUUUAUGUGUCUUCCUUCUACGAUGCCUGGCAUGCUGAAGUCUCAACGGUCCUGAAGAAAACUGAGACCUGAGCAUCAGCAACGGGGUGUCUGGGAAGAUAUCCAAAAGCCAUCCUUCUUCUUCCAGAUUCCUGCAACUGUUGCUUUUGUGUAGGUCCCUUUAUAUUUAUGUCCAGAGGGAAGCAUUAUGUGAUGGGUGAUGGUUGCAGUAGGUGAUCCUAGAGUUUUUUUCCAACUCUAAUGAUUCUAUGAUUGUAUGAUUGAGAACUACAGCGUUUCCUCUCCACCUUACUCAUCCCAGGCUACUCUCUGCUGCAAGGGAGUAUAGACAGUGUAUCUCCUCCAGGUACAGUAACAGUUCUCCUUGUGUUGGUUUAUCUCAUACCUGAACCAGGAGCCUCCUGGAUUGUUUGCAGCCCACUAUAUUGCUUUCCCAACAGAUAUUCAGGUUGAAAUCCCUCAUCAGGAUGAGAGCUUCUGACGAUGAUGCUUGUAGUUGAAGCAAGAAGUUCUUGUCAGCGGGAUUCCCUUGAUCAGGCAGCCUAUAGCAGGCCACGACCACCAGAUAUCCUGUCUUGGCACAGUCCCUAAUUUUUACUCACAAGCUCUCAACCUAUUUAUGGGUGGUUUUGUUUUUUUUUUUUUUUUUUUUUUUAGAGGCAGUUCUUUACAAUCUACCCAUUCCUUAACACAGAGCACAAAAACCCUGCUUCUCUUUCCCUUCUAAAAAACACAUAGCCCUUGUUUGCAGUGUUCCAGUUGUGUGAUUGUCAUACCUACGUGCCAUGGUCUAUGUAAGUUGUUAAAGAUCACUAUACACGUAACUUCAUAUAGUCACAGUUUCUUUCUUCACUGGCUAAUGCUUCACACUCUCCUCCUCAGCUGAUGAUGUAUCGUAGUGGAUUCCCAUUCAAUCAGAACAAGAGUUGAUACUGCAGAUAUUGAGUGUGUUCACUUGCAGUUUUGGGUCUCUGCUCGCAGUAUUACCAGUGAGUGGCUGCAUGAGCAGAUAGUGAACUGGGGAAGGAGCAUCAUCUAGUGCAUGCUUGUGAUAAACUACUUGCUAAGGGAAAGUCUGCACUUCAGGAAUAAAAGUCUCUGCCUGUACCCCUUCCUAGGGUUUUCCCAGCAUUGCAGAUGAGCACAUUACUAUCUCCUUCUCAUUACUUUAGAAUGUUUUUAAAGAAAUGAAGAUGCUUAAGGAGAGCACCUAGAUGGUCCACAGAAAUCCUGGGAUGGACAGCUGCUCAAGAUGAUGAUUCACCUGAACCCAAAUACACAUUUCUUUUAGGCUGGGAUGUACUGUGUCUGGAGAUGCUGAAAACAGGCACAAUUAAGAGAGCUUACCCCACUGUACACUGUGAUGACUUUCCAGACUUUCAGGAGAGAAAACUUCCAGGCAGGAGCAGAACUAAACCACAUCUUCACCUCUAGUUCCCUGUAUGUAAAGACCUACUGGCUACAUCACAAUACUCCAGAAUAUCUUGAGCAAAUACUGCACUCUCCUCUAAUCUUCAGGAUAAAGCCAUGAUUUUCCUGGUGCCUGGGAAUGAGAACUGGGGUCUCAGUGUCACUUUUUUCACCCCAUACGCCUUGCCUCCCUGUUUGUUCUGGAAAUCCUUACCUCACAGGAAGGCCAACAGAAAGCUCUUUCACUUUUCCUUCCGUAAACUGAGCCCUGGAUCUAAAACACUGGAAUGCUUUAACCUCUUCCAGCUUUCCUUGUGGCAUACAAAUAAUCCAUAUCUUGGGAAGUGUCUCCUUUGAGAUUUCAGGGAGAGAGCAAUACAUAAUUGUUUCUCUGCACUUUGCACUUGUCUGUUCCAGACAGAAAAGGUGAGUCUUAAAGGAAGAACAGCGUUUAUUUUGGAAGUCACAUAGUGCAGUGGAGUGAAAACGUUAAAGAUAUAAAGGUAGAUCAUUAACAAGCCAGUAACCUUCCUGCUAUAGCUAGGAUAAGUCAGCCAUCACCCAUCUGUCUGCAGGACAGAGUGCUGCUACAGGUAAGAUCAAGACUGUCACAUCUUGUAGCUUGCAGAAAAUUUGCUGUUUAUUGGAAUAUGAACCAGAGACUUUGCCAACAUGGAGGGCAGGAAGUGUGGUGCAGCACAUUUUCAGUGGGAGCUAUGGUUACUAUGCCUUUUGUUGAUACCUCUAAACAUUCAUCUUUUCUAUUGUGCGUGGCACUUCUGUGCCAAGAGAGCACACCUGUGAGCAGGCCAGUAGCCCACUUUGCCAAAGUUGCAUUUGGAAAGGGCCACCACUCCAUGAAAAAAGUUAUGCUUCCCUUCCACUCCCAUCUUCAGCUAAAACAAACAUGGUGGAGGCUGUGAACGAGAGGUUUUCUGUUGCGCUCGGCAUGAUGCAGAUGUAGCCCAGCUAGUAGAAUACUUCUCACAAGUAAUGAGAAUUCAUCUGUUGUGUAAAAUCCUACUUGGUAGCAGCAGUGGGGUUACAGCAUGGCAGGUAAAUUUAAGCUAUGCUUUGUGGCCCUGUUUUGUUCCACAGGUGUUGAUGUUCUAUAUGCUGAUGUUAAGCUCAUAGCCUAAAGACACUUGGACUCACACUGCUCCCAAGGAGGGUGUUACUUGCCUCCAGGCACUUGUCCAGCUGAGACACUGCAAUGAGGGAGAGAUGGGAAGUGAGGCAGGAAGGAAGGUCCACAGAAGGAAAGGAAAAAGAAGGCAUAGGACUAUUUCACCUGACCCCAGGAAAUUGAGGUCCUGUAAAGGGAUAAGGCAAGUCCCAUUGGAGAGAAAGGGAAGGAAGCUAUGCUGUGUAGAUCUGCAGGAAAAGGACUUUCAAGGCUCACCAUCUCGGCUGCACAGCCAGGUUACAGCCUUUGCCUCCAGCAAUUCACAUAGCUCAUGGUAACGCCUGUUGUCUCUCUGCAGCCAGGUCACAGCCAGCACUGUUGCCCAGAAACUAGGCUCCAUGACCUGUAGGAGAACAAUGAAUGACACUGCUGUACAUCCUCCCUGACCCUCACUCCUUCCCACCCCCUCUUUUGUGGCUAGUGGUUUCUGAUCCUUUCACUAGUUCUCCCUGCCCAGGACUACACGCUGCCUCCAGAAAGGAUCAUCCUCUUACCUCACCAGGCAUCUUUCCCUUGAUUUCAGCCUCCUCAACCUGUAGCACAGAAGCUAAACCUGAGCUGAGGGUCCAGGAGCCAUCUACAUUCUGCAGUGCCACCAGCUCUCUGCACUCAGCAAUGGCUUCAUUCAUCCAUGGCCCAAAAAUUUGAGAGCACAAAACAAAUCUUGUUGAAUCCACAUACUUGAGAGAGAAAAUGGAUGGUGGUGGCUGUUCAGGUGCUGUGAAACAAGACAUGAACAGGGAAUCACAGGAAGAUGACUCCUCUCCAUUCCCCUGUGCAGUGCCCCAGAACACUCAUCUCUACUCUUCCUUGGGCAGUUACCUGCAGACUGAGACCCUCCCUGUAUGUCCUCAGUGUGAUCUUGUCCCCAGCGCUUUUUGGACAUCCUUUACUCAUCCCUCUUCCCUUGACAUUUCUGCCUAGCCAGGUGCCCCAGUGGUCUCCUGACAUCCUCAACAUAUAUCGUCCAAAUGUGCUUUCACGCUGAAGCACUGGCCCUAACGCCUCCACGGGCAUCCUUGACCUGGAUCUCACAAUUGCUGAAGGACUUUCAGCUUUAAUACUAAUUAAGGGAAAGAUUAAACUCACUAGUUUUAAGACCAAGAGCAGGACAUGUAAAAAAGCAACAGAACACUCCUAUCAGAUAUUAAUUAAUCCCUGUAUUUCCUAUCUGUGUCAAAGCUUUGUACCUUCUUUGUGAGCCCCAUGCUGGAGUAAGUUAGCAAUGCCAUUGGUGAGACGCUUGAUGGCAAUCCGUGACUCCUGCACUGCAGUGUGCCAUCUAGGUGGGUUCCAUAUGGUCUUAGGAAAGCAGGAAGUGUCAGUCAAGGAGCCACGUAGCAAAAGGAUCUUGCAGGGAACGAAUGACUGGCGAGGUGACAGCAGUGCCAGGGGCCCUUUGAGAGUUAAGAAGGAAAGGGGCUGAAUUAAGGUAGUGGGGAGAAAAGCACCUGUUGAUGAUGGGGCUUAUGCAUAUUGUGGCUGGACUUCUGGCUCCUGUGGAAUGAGAACAACACAUGGAAAUACCUCUCCAGUUCUUUUCCCCAAGUGUCUUUCCUUACCAUGGUACCAGGGGGCCCUCCGUGAUGUACGAACACCCACAUAGCUGGUGAAGGGGCAGAUGAUCCCAGAUGUGAGACUGAUUUCAAUGGCACGCUGCAUUGGUUCAUCCCCUGACCCUCUCACAACCUCUGGCAACAGUAGCUUCUCCAGCAAAUGUCUUGCAGCCAGAUGAUGACCAGCCAUCCUGGGGACAGAGUAGAGUGAGGCCUGACAACCUGGGGAGAAAGGGCCUGUGUUCUCUCCUUUCAGGAGUGAGGAUGUGCAAAGGGAAGACCUGGAUGCAUGGACCCUUCUAUCUUGAAGGAAGUGAUGCCCAUGUUCCUGGGUCCUGUCCAUGUGGGUUCAAAACAGGGAAGGAGACCAUGCUUGGACACUUGGGUUCUCUCUCAGUUUGGCACGGUGUGAGAAAGCUGGGAAUGUGUGAGCUAUCCGUGUCCUCCAUCAGCUGGAGUCCACGUGUAGAAAACAAGGAGAUGCUCUUACCGGCCAUCUCCCUGUGGGCAUAGUGGGAACUGGAUCUUGUGAGUGACAUCCUGGCCAUCCAGGUUGAAAUGCAAGGUCAUGACACCACUGGCCUCCUUCAUAUCCUGGAAACACAUGUAAAAUUACUGGAGACACAUGAUGGCUGCUGAGGGAUAUUUGGAAGUUACUGAAAGAUUACCUGUAGUUAUUGGGAGGUCAUUGGAAGGUAACUGUAGUUAACUGGGAUGGUAGCCCCAGCUCUCACCUGUUCCUUUCCAUGGAUCUGUGCAUAGAGGAAGAUGUGCUGACCCUGAAAGAUGAACUGGGGGGUCCCUCCCAGCACCUCGACCUCCAGGCCAGAGGGCAAAGUCCACUCCAGAGAGACUCCCUCAGCUACUGGCUUGAGGGCCUGCUUCAAGCAUUUCAACACCUGGGGAGAAAUGGCAGAACACCACAAUCUGGCAACUCCAUGAGAGUUCAGUAUGUGGCCCCUCUGAGUUCUUAGGGGACACUGGGAUAUGAUUGGUGGUGUUCAGUUUUGGCUGGGAUAGAGUUAAUUUUCUUCCUAGGAGCUGGCACAGUGCUGCAUUUUGGAUUAAGGAUGAGAAUAAUGUUGAUAACACAUUGAUAUUUUAGUUGUUGCUAAGCAGUGCUUACAUUAAGUCAAGGAUUUUUCAGUUUCUCAGACUGCCCUGCCAGCAAGAAGACUGGGGAAACACAAGGAGCUGGGAGGGGAUGGGACCAGGACAACUGACCCAAACUGGCCGAAGGGAUAUUCCAUACCAGAUGACAUCAUGCUAAAUGAUAACACUGGGAGGGGGGAACUAAAUGAUAACACUGGCUGCGGCAGGGAGAGAUUGCUGCGUGGGGACUGGCUGGGUGAUGAGCAACAGCAUUGUGCAUCACUUGUUCCAGAUAUUCUUUUAUCAUUAUUAUUAUUAUUAUUUUCCCUUUGUUUUCCAUCCUCCUAAACUGUCAUUAUCUCAACUCAUGUGUUUUACCUUUUCUUCCAGUUUUCUCCCACAUCCCACUGGUGGAUACUGAGCGAAGGACUGUAUGUUGCAGAUGGCCUGCACCAGGUAGCUUCCCUGGGAGCAGUCAGAGAACAAGUCAUGACAUACCCAAGGAAGCACCUGAAGAGACAUUGGGAAGGCCUGGCAUCCCCUCCAUUCCCCCCCCCCCCCCCCCCCCCCCCCAGUAAUCUUUGUUUAAUGAAGACUUUGAAGAAAAUCACCUUAUCACUAUGACUGAGCCAUCUUGGGGACAACAGGAUGGCUUGGCUACUGACCUGACUGACGCCAGAUAACACACGAAUUAACAAAUGUAAACCUUUGAUAAAAUUGUGAACCUGGAGUACCCAGCCAAUGGGGAAACAGGGAAGGGGGAUAGGCAAAGGGGGACACAAGGUACAAAAGACAGAAGCUGUCAUUGAGUCCUUCGGGGUGCUCCUGCUUGUGGGACGCCCGCCAUUGCAAUCACAAAUAAAAUCUGCUUUUAUCAGAGAUACCAUCCUGACAAAAUUAUUUGGAUAUUUCCAGCAUUUUGACUUGGGUAUCUUCUGUCCUUGCUAGACUGGAAUACUCUGUCUUCAGCUUCCUUGCAUAAGCCAGCUCCAUACUCAUGCCUUCUUGGCAGCAGCUUGAGACAAUCCACCUCAUUUGUGGUCUACAGAUGCUCAAGGGGCCAAAUCACACCUGACUUCAGACGCAUUUAUCCCAGAGCAUACCCUGACUGUCUCUUUUCUAUGAGUGUGUAUAGGACUGAACUCUUACUUCUCCACCAAACCUGGGCAGCUUCCUUCAAACUGCCUCUCAGGUUUGGUGUGCUCUUCAGAAAAAACAACACGGAGGGCUGUGCUGGUGGUGCCACAACCUUGAUCAUCACAGACAAUUCUGGCUGCC
rnacentral:lncRNA from 1 species